rnacentral:rRNA from 1 species
UACGUAGGUGGCAAGCGUUGUCCGGAUUUACUGGGCGUAAAGAGCGCGCAGGCGGUCGGAUAAGUCGAAUGUGAAAGCCCCCUGGCUCAACCAGGGAGGGUCAUUCGAUACUGUUCGACUCGAAGGCAGGAGAGGGAAGUGGAAUUCCGGGUGUAGUGGUGAAAUGCGUAGAUAUCCGGAGGAACACCAGUGGCGAAGGCGACUUUCUGGCCUGUUCUUGACGCUGAGGCGCGGAAAGCUAGGGUAGCAAACGGGG